AAAUAGCCGCAGUAUCUUGACUGUGCGAAGGUAGCAUAAUCAUUUGUCUUUUAAUUGAAGGCUGGAAUGAACGGUCGGAUGAAGGAAUAUCUUUCUUUAUAUUAAAAUAUUGAAUUUAAUUUUUUGGUUAAAAAGCUAAAAUUUUUAAAUGGGACGAGAAGACCCUAUAGAAUUUUAUUUUUAUAGAAAUAUAAAUAUUUAUGGGUUAAUUAUAUAUUUAUUUUUAUAAUUUUGUUGGGGAGACAUUGAGAUUAUUUUAACUCUCAUAUUUAUAUUUUUUAUGAAUAAUUAUAUUUAGGAUCUUACUUUUUAGAUAUUUAGAUUAAAUUACCUUAGGGAUAACAGCGUAAUUUUUUUGGAGAGUUCUUAUCGAUAAAGGAGUUUGCGACCUCGAUGUUGGAUUAAAAUAAGAUUUAA
rnacentral:rRNA from 1 species